AAACUUUCAACAACGGAUCUCUAGGCUCUUGCAUCGAUGAAGAACGCAGUGAAAUGCGAUACGUAAUGUGAAUUGCAGAAUCUCGUGAAUCAUUGAAUCUUUGAACGCACAUUGCGCCCUAUGGUAUUCCGUAGGGCAUGCCUGUCUGAGUGUCAGCUU
rnacentral:rRNA from 1 species